UACGGAGGGUGCAAGCGUUAUCCGGAUUUACUGGGUUUAAAGGGUGCGUAGGUGGGUAGGUAAGUCAGUGGUGAAAUCUUCGAGCUUAACUCGGAAACUGCCAUUGAUACUAUCUAUCUUGAAUACUCUGGAGGUAAGCGGAAUAUGUCAUGUAGCGGUGAAAUGCUUAGAUAUGACAUAGAACACCAAUUGCGAAGGCAGCUUACUACAUAGUUAUUGACACUGAGGCACGAAAGCGUGGGGAUCAAACAGG
rnacentral:rRNA from 1 species